UCCUAGCCCCGAUAGAAACGGUUACCCCGCAACAAGGAGUGGAGAAGUUUGAGGGUUUUGGUGUGGGAGAGUGGGUGGAGUGAGGAGUAUGAGUGGAUAGCGGGAAAUAGC
rnacentral:misc_RNA from 1 species